rnacentral:rRNA from 1 species
AUGUCCUAUAUACAGAUUCAUAGUGUAACACAUCAAUGGAAGUUUGUUCUGAAAAUUGAAAUUGUUCUGGAUGUACUAAUAGAUGAGUUGUUAAGUAUUGGAGUGUUUCCUUCUUGUUUUGGACAAAUGGAAAUCUACAAGACAAAUGUACUGUUAGAUUCAGAGCGAACCAGUACACCAAACAGAAAAAAGCAAAAGAAAAAAACUCACUCCAGGCCACUCCACCAAAUCCGAAGUGGGUCAAUCCCCGACGCAAUGCCCGCCACCACCCACGCCCGUCUUCGUGCUCCUCCUUGCUGUUCAAAUUCUUGUUUUGGUUAUGUCCAAAGAAAAUCGUAA